rnacentral:rRNA from 1 species
GAUGAACGCUGGCGGCGUGCCUAACACAUGCAAGUCGAGCGGAAAGGCGCUGCUUUUGCGGGGUUCAUGUGUGGGGAACAGGGGUGAGAAACGCGAGUAUAACGCACCUGAAUUUCUGGUAAAUUUACGGAACUGGGGCUAUUAUCGGGUAGGAGCUUUUGCUGCAUGGUGGGGAUAGGUAAGAGACGGCGGUUGGGGAUGGACUCGCUGCUUAUGAGCUGGUUGGUGUGGUAGUGGCUGUCCAAGCCUUUGACGGGUAGCCGGCCUGAGAGGGUGACCGGCCACAUUGGGACUGAGAUACGGCCCAGACUCCUACGGGAGGCAGAAGUGGGGAAUAUUGCACAAUGGGCGGAAGCCUGAUGCAGCAACGCCGCGUGCGGGAUGACGGCCUUCGGGUUGUAAACCGCUUUCGCCUGUGACGAAGCGUGAGUGACGGUAAUGGGUAAAGAAGCACCGGCUAACUACGUG